CCUGCGCCGAAAAUGUCCGGGGCUGAAACACACUACCGAAGCUUGGGAAUUGAUGAAUGUCAAUUGGUAGAGGAGCAUUCUUACCGAGACGAAGCUGUACCGGAAGGAGCAGUGGAUUGGUAAGAAGAGAGAAUGCCGGAAUGAGUAGCGAGAGGAAGGUGAGAAUCCUUCCGGCCGAAUAUCUAAGGUUUCCAGAGUAAAGCUGAUCUGCUCUGGGUAAGUCGGGGCCUAAGGCGAGGUCGAAAGACGUAGUCGAUGGAUAACAGGUAAAGAUUCCUGUACUGUAUCAUAACAGAACUGUGGGGACGCAGACAGAGAGCAUAAGCCGGGAAUGGAAAGACCGGUACAAGCGAGGUAGGAGUGCAUCAGGCAAAUCCGGUGCACAAUCUGAAGACGUGAUGUGGGGCGUAAAGCCGGAAGUAUGUGAGCUGGCUGCCAAGAAAAGCCGCUAUUGUUUAUGAUAUACCCGUACCGUAAACCGACACAGGUGGAUGAGGAGAGAAUCCUAAGGCCGACGGGAGAAGCAUUGUUAAGGAACUCGGCAAAAUGACUCCGUAACUUCGGGAGAAGGAGUGCCAUGUAAAAGUGGCCGCAGAGAAUUGGCCCAAGCAACUGUUUAGCAAAAACACAGGUCUAUGCAAAACCGAAAGGUGAGGUAUAUGGGCUGACGCCUGCCCGGUGCUGGAAGGUUAAGGGGAGAGGUUAGCCGUAAGGCGAAGCUUUGAACUUAAGCCCCAGUAAACGGCGGCCGUAACUAUAACGGUCCUAAGGUAGCGAAAUUCCUUGUCGGGUAAGUUCCGACCCGCACGAAAGGCGUAAUGAUUUGGGCACUGUCUCAACAAUGCACCCGGUGAAAUUGAAAUACCAGUGAAGAUGCUGGUUACCUGCGCCAGGACGGAAAGACCCCAUGGAGCUUUACUCCAGCUUGAUACUGGGAUUCGAUAUUGCAUGUACAGGAUAGGUGGGAGACU
rnacentral:rRNA from 1 species